rnacentral:rRNA from 1 species
UACGUAGGUGGCGAGCGUUGUCCGGAUUUACUGGGCGUAAAGGGAGCGUAGGCGGACUUUUAAGUGAGAUGUGAAAUACUCGGGCUCAACUUGAGUGCUGCAUUUCAAACUGGAAGUCUAGAGUGCAGGAGAGGAGAAUGGAAUUCCUAGUGUAGCGGUGAAAUGCGUAGAGAUUAGGAAGAACACCAGUGGCGAAGGCGAUUCUCUGGACUGUAACUGACGCUGAGGCUCGAAAGCGUGGGGAGCAAACGGG